UGCUGUACCGUGGGAAUUACCGGUGUUUCUUCGGCGCGUGCAAAGGCUGGCGGCCGCAGCAUCAUUAUCACUUCGAUGCUCGCUCGGGCAACACGCGCAACUCCGCUGCUCUCCCACAACAAGGACCUCCUUCUUUGAGUUAUUUUUCGCUUCGGUGAUCGACGUUCGGACAAUGUUUGCGGAGGCAUUUCCAUCAGAGGUUCCUUAUUAUUAUUAUUUUUAGAUGUAUCUUGUUUUUAUGUACGAUAUAUACAUAUAUAUAUAUAUAUAUAUAUAUAUAUAUAUAUAUAUAUAUAUAUAUAUAUAUUUUAAAUGUGUUAUCUAUUUUAUGUUUGUUAAAUAUAUUUAAUUUUAUAUUUC